rnacentral:rRNA from 1 species
CCUACGGGAGGCAGCAGUAGGGAAUCUUCCACAAUGGGCGAAAGCCUGAUGGAGCAACGCCGCGUGGGUGAAGAAGGUCUUCGGAUCGUAAAACCCUGUUGUUAGAGAAGAAAGUGCGUGAGAGUAACUGUUCACGUGUCGACGGUAUCUAACCAGAAAGCCACGGCUAACUACGUGCCAGCAGCCGCGGUAAUACGUAGGUGGCAAGCGUUAUCCGGAUUUAUUGGGCGUAAAGGGAACGCAGGCGGUCUUUUAAGUCUGAUGUGAAAGCCUUCGGCUUAACCGGAGUAGUGCAUUGGAACCUUGGAGACUUGAGUGCAGCAGAGGAGAGUGGAACUCCCUGUGUAGCGGUGAAAUGCGUCGAUAUAUGGAAGAACCCCAGUGGCGAACGCGGCUCUCUGGUCUGUAACUGACGCUGAGGUUCGAAAGCGUGGGUAGCAAACAGGAUUAGAUACCCCAGUAGUC